UCCUUAUUGGUGUAGUGGUUAACAUUGGUGCUUUUCAAGAAAACUGAGAAAUCUUGAUCACGCACUAGCCAAGGGUUCGAUUCCCUUAUAGGGAA